GCCUCGGUAGUCUAAAGGCUUAGGACGCUCGCACGGAAUGCAAGAGAUCCGGGUUCGACUCCUGGACGGGGUA
rnacentral:tRNA from 1 species